CCAGGGGCUUACGCCCCUGGCUGAUGACGGGCGUGCCUUUGGCACU
rnacentral:sRNA from 1 species